GAUUCUCCUAGCUGAGGAUGCUAUCCCCAAGUCAGCAUUUGUCACCCCAUUUGGCCUGUACCAAUUUAGGGUCAUGCCAUUCGGGAUGAAAAAUGCCCCGGCUACCUUCCAGCGUAUGGUGGAUAGGCUCCUCGAUGGCUUCUAGGAUUUUGCUUGCGCAUACCUGAUGACAUUGCGAUCUACAGUGGGUCUUGGGAGGAGCACUUGGUUCAUGUAGGGGUGGUUCUGGAC